rnacentral:rRNA from 1 species
GGUUGACCUCGGAUCAGGUAGGAGUACCC